rnacentral:tRNA from 1 species
GGUGAAAUGGUAUCACGCCGCACCUGCAAUGCGGAGUUACGGGUUCGAUUCCCGCCGUGUCCA